CACGGGUGAGUAACGCGCAUGCAACCUACCUACUACAGGGGAAUAGCCCGAAGAAAUUCGGAUUAAUGCCGCAUAAUACAGGGGCACCGCAUGGUGAUAUUUGUUAAAGAUUAAUUGGUAGUAGAUGGGCAUGCGUUCCAUUAGCCAGUUGGUGAGGUAACGGCUCACCAAAGCAACGAUGGAUAGGGGAACUGAGAGGUUUAUCCCCCACACUGGUACUGAGACACGGACCAG
rnacentral:rRNA from 1 species